UCUUGGUCAUUUAGAGGAAGUAAAAGUCGUAACAAGGUCUCCGUUGGUGAACCAGCGGAGGGAUCAUUACCGAGUUUACAACUCCCAAACCCCUGUGAACAUACCUUACUGUUGCCUCGGCGGAUCAGCCCGCUCCCGGUAAAACGGGACGGCCCGCCAGAGGACCCCUAAACUCUGUUUCUAUAUGUAACUUCUGAGUAAAACCAUAAAUAAAUCAAAACUUUCAACAACGGAUCUCUUGGUUCUGGCAUCGAUGAAGAACGCAGCAAAAUGCGAUAAGUAAUGUGAAUUGCAGAAUUCAGUGAAUCAUCGAAUCUUUGAACGCACAUUGCGCCCGCCAGUAUUCUGGCGGGCAUGCCUGUUCGAGCGUCAUUUCAACCCUCAAGCCCUCGGGUUUGGUGUUGGGGAUCGGCGAGCCUUUCUGGCAAGCCGGCCCCGAAAUCUAGUGGCGGUCUCGCUGCAGCCUCCAUUGCGUAGUAGUAAAACCCUCGCAACUGGAACGCGGCGCGGCCAAGCCGUUAAACCCCCAACUUCGGAAUGUUGACCUCGGAUCAGGUAGGAAUACCCGCUGAACUUAAGCAUAUCAAUAAGCGGAGGAA
rnacentral:rRNA from 1 species